UACGGAGGGUGCGAGCGUUGUCCGGAAUCACUGGGCGUAAAGGGCGCGUAGGCGGCUCAUGAAGGCUGUGGUGAAAGUCCGGGGCUCAACCUCGGAUCGGCCGUGGCGACUCGUGGGCUGGAGCACUGUAGAGGCGGGUGGAAUUCCGGGUGUAGCGGUGGAAUGCGUAGAGAUCUGGAAGAACACCAGUGGCGAAGGCGGCCCGCUGGGCAGUGGCUGACGCUGAAGCGCGACAGCGUGGGGAGCAAACAGG
rnacentral:rRNA from 1 species